GACGAACGCUGGCGGCGUGCCUAAUACAUGCAAGUCGAGCGAUGAAGCUCGGUGCUUGCACCAAUUUGAAGAGCAGAGAACGGGUGAGUAACGCGUGUGGAAUCCGCCUUUGAGCGGGGGACAACAUUGGGAAACGGACGAUAAUACCGCAUAAUAACUUUAAACAUAAGUUUUAUGUUUGAAAGACGCAAUUGCAUCACUCACAGAUGAUCCCGCGUCGUAUUAGCUAGUUGGUGAGGUAAAGGCGCACGAAGGCGAUGAUACAUAGCCGACCUGAGAGGGUGGGCGGCCGCAUUGGGACUGUGACACGGCACAAACGGCUUCAGGUAGCGGCAAGAGGGCUACUGGGGCCAGGGGUGAGAGUCUGAGCGAGCUGCGCCGCGGGAGUGAAGAGGGAUUUCGGAUCGUAAAUCACGGUUUGUGGGGUAGAACGCGGGUGAGAGUGGAAAGCUCAGCAAGUGACGGUAACUACCCAGAAAGGGACGGCUAACUACGUG
rnacentral:rRNA from 1 species